rnacentral:rRNA from 1 species
UACGAAGGGGGCUAGCGUUGCUCGGAAUCACUGGGCGUAAAGGGUGCGUAGGCGGGUCUUUUAAGUCAGGGGUGAAAUCCUGGAGCUCAACUCCAGAACUGCCUUUGAUACUGAGGAUCUUGAGUAUGGGAGAGGUGAGUGGAACUGCGAGUGUAGAGGUGAAAUUCGUAGAUAUUCGCAAGAACACCAGUGGCGAAGGCGGGACUCUGGGCCGAUACUGACGCUGAGGAGACGAAAGCGUGGGGAGCAAACAGGG